ACAUUUUAUCCUUAAAAAAAAAAAAAAAAGAAAGAAAAUAUUUAAUUUUUAAAUACCAAUUUUUAGAGUAAGAAAUUGGUUUGAUAGUUAUCUCUAAUAGUGUCAAAUGAGUAUUUUUUUUCCUUUUUCUCUUUUUUGAAUAUCAUGGACUUCAGAUGUUUUAAAAUCCAAUAUUUUACCCUCAGUUACAGUCACUGUUCAUUUUUUAUUGAGAUAUAAUUCAGAUACCAUAAAAUUCACCUUUUAAAACAUACAAUUCAACAUUUAAAAAUGUAUUCACAAAGUUGUGGAACCACCACUACUAUCUACUUCCAGAAUAUUCAUCCCCUGCCCCCCUGAAAGAAGCCCUGCCCUCUUUAGCAAUCACACCCCAUUACUCCUUCCCUUCAGCCGCAGGCAACCACUCACCUGCUAGUUCUGUCUUGUAGAUGUGCCUGUUCUGGACAUUUCGUGUAAAUGGAAUCAGACAAUAUGUGGCCUUUCAUGUCUGGCAUCUUUCAGCACAGUGUUUCGAGGUUCAUUCAUGUUUGUAGCACUUCAUUUCUAAUAUUCCAUUGUAUGGAUAUACCACAUUUUGUACAUCAGUUGAUGGAUACAUGUACGUUUUAUAUGAACAGUUCCCAUGGCUUUUCCACUCAAGUUAGGAUUUCUUGGUUUAAGCCAGGUAGGGUAAAAGGUGGAGCUGAGUUUGGUGACUGUGCUUAUUGUCAAAUGCUGCUUCUUCCAUAUGUUGCAGUCUAAUGCUGGCGUGCUAUGCGGGACACCUAGAUGUUGUGAAAUAUCUCCGAAGACAUGGCGCUUCUUGGCAGGCUAGAGACCUGGGAGGCUGUACAGCUCUGCACUGGGCUGCAGAUGGAGGCCACUGCAGUGUGAUUGAGUGGAUGAUAAAGGAUGGCUGUGAGGUAGACGUCGUGGACACUGGUUCAGGAUGGACCCCACUCAUGAGAGUCUCUGCGGUGUCGGGAAAUCAGAGGGUGGCCUCUCUUCUAAUUGAUGCUGGGGCCAAUGUGAAUGUGAAGGACAGAAAUGGAAAGACGCCCCUUAUGGUGGCUGUGUUAAAUAAUCAUGAAGAGUUAGUUCAGUUACUUCUUGACAGAGGGGCAGAUGCAAGUGUAAAAAAUGAGGUAAAUGAGUCCAUCUUUAUGUAAAGAUUUUCCUCAGAGGGGGAGAAAACAUUUAUAAGCAUGUAAAAUUUUUGUUGUUUCCUGUUUCAGUUCGGCAAAGGUGUCCUAGAAAUGGCCAGAGUUUUUGACAGACAGGUUGGGAUGCUUUUUCUGCCUAUCAAGGCUAAUUUUUAGUCCUUCUAGACUCAGAAAAACCACCAAAACCCUGGAUUACAUUUGCCUGUCUGUUUUGUUUAUCUAGAGUGUAGUCUCCUUAUUAGAAGAAAGGAAAAAAAAGCAGAGGCCAAAGAAGUCUUGUGUCUGCUGAUGAGAGCACCACUCAUCUGCGAAACGCACGUAAAACAAAGUGAACCGUGACUGUUAAACUAGGGAUGGGAAAUUCUGCAUCUUGGGGGGCUGUACAUUUAUUUAUUUAGUUGAAGAUUCACUGAUCCCACUUUGAAAUACAUCUUUUUACCU
rnacentral:sRNA from 1 species